rnacentral:rRNA from 1 species
GGGAUAGUGGGGGGAGGUCGGCAGCGGUAGAGCGGAGGGGUGAAGCGUUGUGCGGAAGGAUUGGGCGUAAAGAGCGGGUAGGCGGGAUGUUACGUCUGCGGUGGAAACCCGGGGCGUAACCCCGGGCGUGCAGGGGAGACGGGCAGGCUAGAGGCAGGUAGGGGAGAAUGGAAUUCCCGGUGUAGCGGUGAAAUGCGCAGAUAUCGGGAGGAACACCGGUGGCGAAGGCGGUUCUCUGGGCCUGACCUGACGCUGAGGAGCGAAAGCGUGGGGAGCGAACAGGAUUAGAUACCCAGAGUC